rnacentral:rRNA from 1 species
ACGUAGGGUGCGAGCGUUAAUCGGAAUUACUGGGCGUAAAGCGUGCGCAGGCGGUUUUGUAAGUCGGAUGUGAAAUCCCCGGGCUCAACCUGGGAACUGCGUUCGAAACUGCAAGGCUAGAGUGUGUCAGAGGGGGGUAGAAUUCCACGUGUAGCAGUGAAAUGCGUAGAGAUGUGGAGGAAUACCAAUGGCGAAGGCAGCCCCCUGGGAUAACACUGACGCUCAUGCACGAAAGCGUGGGGAGCAAACAGGAUUAGAUACCCUGGUAGUCCACGCCCUAAACGAUGUCAACUAGUUGUUGGUAGAGUAAAAUCUAUGAGUAACGUAGCUAACGCGUGAAGUUGACCGCCUGGGGAGUACGGUCGCAAGAUUA